GAUGAACGCUGGCGGCGUGCCUAACACGUGCAAGUCGAACGGAGUCCAGCCUUUAAGACCUUCGGGUCAAAGAGGGGAAGACUGAGUGGCGGACGGGUGAGUAACACGUGGGCAACCUGGCUCAUAGAGGGGGAUAACAGAGAGAAAUUUCUGCUAAUACCGCAUAAGCACACACUGCCGCAUGGCAGAGGGUGAAAAGAGAAUCGCUAUGAGAUGGACCCGCGUCUGAUUAGCCAGUUGGCAGGGUAAGAGCCUACCAAAGCGACGAUCAGUAGCCGAUCGGAGAGGAUGAACGGCCACAUUGGGACUGAGACACGGCCCAAACUCCUACGGGAGGCAGCAGUGGGGGAUAUUGCACAAUGGGGGGAAACCUGAUGCAGCGACGCCGCGUGAGUGAAGAAGUAUUUCGGUAUGUAAAGCUCUAUCAGCAGGGAAGAUAAUGACAGUACCUGAAUAAGAAGCCCCGGCUAACUACGUG
rnacentral:rRNA from 1 species